rnacentral:rRNA from 1 species
CGUAUGUGGUUUAAUUCGAAGCAACGCGAAGAACCUUACAGGUCUUGACAUCCCGAUGCUAUUUCUAGAGAUAGAAAGUUACUUUCGGUACAUCGGUGACAGGUGUGCAUGGUUGUCGUCAGCUCGUGUCGUGAGAUGUUGGGUUAAGUCCCGCAACGAGCGCAACCCCUAUUGUUAGUUGCCAUCAUUCAGUUGGGCACUCUAGCGAGACUGCCGGUGUCAAACCGGAGGAAGGUGGGGAUGACGUCAAGUCCUCAUGGCCUUUAUGACCAGGGCUACACACGUACUACAAUGGCAGGUACAAAGGGCAGCCACUUAGCGAUAAGGCGCGAAUCCCGUAAAACCUGUCUCAGUCCGGAUUGGAGUCUGCAACUCGACUCCAUGAAGUUGGAAUCGCUAGUAAUCGCAGAUCAGCACGCUGCGGUGAAUACGUUCCCGGGCCUU